UCUGGGGAUAUGGCUCAGUGGUAGAGUGCUUGCCUGGCAUGCCUGAGGCCCUGAAUUCAAUCCCCAGCACAAAA
rnacentral:tRNA from 1 species